UAUAACCGACCUCAAAUAUUAGAUAGGGGACGUACACUACACCAAAUACCCCAUUCCAUAACACAUGAAUAUAAUAGUAAUAAAAAAGUAUUAUGCUAGACUAGUAUAUUGGGCCACUUUAGGAAAAAAAAAGGCGGUAAUAAUUCCAUAUCCCGCCACUUAGCAUUUUUUUUUCAUUUGGGAUACCUGGAAAUUUGUGAGACCCGAGAGACCAAUUCCUGUCCUUCAAUUCCUUCAACAUUUCUGAGACCCGAGACCCAUUUCCUCUCCUUCAACAUUUUUGAGACCCAUUUCCUUUCCCCAUUUCUUCGGCUUGGUACUACAUCCAAACUCCUCACUCUCUCUCUCAUCUAUCUCUAUCUCUUUGUCAACCUUCAAUUUCUAGUCGUUGGUAUCCUCGAGCGAGAAAAAGAGAAAUAAAAGGGGAAAAUCACUUUCGUUUCCUUUUUUUUUAUGGUUUUUCUUUUCUUUCAUGAUCUGGUUCUGAAUUUUGAUGGUUUCUCUGAUUCCUCUUCUGCUCCGCCGCAAGAGCUACUCUGAUUGUCCCUCAGGUGUGGACUAAGGCUCGACGACUAUGGGAUGUAGGCAGGGACUAAAGGUUGACGAUGAUGGGAUGUAGACGGUGCUUUGGUGGUGAGGGCUAGAUCGGUGCAGGUGGUGGUCGACUGUGUCUUGUGCAAGGUCGGGGACAGACGGGGACUGAAGGGUGACGCAUGGGUAAGAUUUUUUCUCACCUGUUUUUUUUUUAUUUUUUUGCAAAAGAAUUAGCAUAAAACAUGUGAAUUAUUUUAUGUCUGGUUUAUGCUAGAGUUUCAAGGGGUAUUCAGUUGAAUCCUGUAUGUUGUUUUCUGACAUAAAUUCAUACAGGAUUCUGAUUAGACCGCAUCCAGCAAUUUGAUGCUUAGUUCAUGGCAUGGCUAUUGUUUACCUUGUUGCUCUCACAUUUUUGCUUUUUCAGGUCAGCUCUUCUCUUUCCUAUCUGUAUAGUGAUCCUUUUUUCCAAAAAAUAAAAAUUACUGGAGAGUUAAUAUUAUUGGAAAAGUAUGCUCUGAUUUUGGUGUUUUAUUUUUGAAUAUUUAAUGGAGAGUUACUAAGUUGUAGCAAGAAGUUGAAAAUUGGAUCAUAUUGUUUGGAGUAGAAAUACAUGUGUUUUAGUGUUUUUUUUUUUUCUUUCAUGUAAACAGAAAAUCAUGGAUUUCCUGUACUUUUUAGCUUAAGAAAUUUGCUUGUCAUGUCUCAUUUUCUGUUUCUUGUGAACCUUUGUUAUUGACACUGAGUUAGAUGCAUUUUUUACUGACUCAGGUCAAAAGAACACUAGAAUAAUUUACACCAGAUCAGUGGGAAAAAGAUGAGUGGUAUCCCCUGCUUGGUCCAUGGCGUUUCAUUCAAGAUGUUAGCCUUUGUAUCGUCUUCCUCACAGUAGAGCUCAACACCUUUUUUUUGAAGUUCUGUUUGUGGAUUCCUCCUCGAAACCCCGUUAUUGUGUAUAGGUUGAUAUUGUGGUGGCUAAUAGCAAUUCCUACAAUUCGUGAGUACAACUCAUAUCUUCAAGACAGAAAACCAGCGAAAAAAGUCGGCGCAUUCUGUUGGCUUUCCUUAGCUAUUUGCAUAGUAGAGCUUCUCAUUUGCAUCAAGUUUGGACAUGAAGAUGAUAAUUUGAAAGUUGCCAUUGUUGGACAGUGCCCUGAAGGUGAUACUGCAACGACUAACAAUUAUGAGCGAUGUGAAAAGCGAGAUAAAAAGCCUACUAGGCAACGGUUAUUGGUAGUUGCUAAUAGAUUACCAGUCUCUGGCAUUUAGAGAUUAGUGCUGGGGGUUUAGUCAGUGCUCUUCUGGGUAUGCAAUUCCUACUCUUCAUUUUUUAAGAUUGUUUGGUCUAUUUAUAUUUAUAUUAAGAUUGUUUACUUGAUGAUAUUAUUGCGUGUCUAACAAAAUAGUUCCCCGUAUUAAUAGUUUUUUGUUACUUUUUUUACCUAAUGAUUUUGUUUUUUUCUUUGUAAACUUGUUAUUCACUUGUACUGUAUGGUAUAGAUUCAGAUCGCUUUAUACGUGCACUGGAGCUUCCUCAAGUCCAGGAACACAUCAGAGAACUGAAAGAAAGAUUUGCUGGGUGGAGGGUAAAUAAUAUAUUUUAAGAAUAAAAGUAUGCCAUGCAUACACUCAACUUCCACAAGAUAAUGGGAACAUGUAUUAAUUCUUAAGCAUAAUUUAUCUCACUGUCUAGUUUCCUAUGACAUGAAGUUUUAGGAUAGUUGGUCGCUUGAUAUGAUUUGAGACCUUGUUUAUGAUAUUCUUGUUUGGUUCUUUUACUGUAAAGCUAUUAGAUAAUUCUUAGUCCUUACCUUCGUAGUGACACAUUUCUAUUUAUGCUAUGAUGCAUUCCAAUUUUCUUACAUAAUUUAUUUCUGCACAUAGCUUUUUUCUCUUGAUUUCCUUAUUGUAGACUUACCUGCCCCCCUCUCUUUCCCUACUUCCUUUGGGGUUUGAAAAAGCUAUCUUAAAAGUCAUCUUUUAAUUGUUAUGAUGUGUUUUAAUCUUUUCUUUUCUGGAAUUACUGAGCUUGUUUUUUUUCUUUUUUGUUUCUUGUUGUUUCUAGUUUUAUGGUGCAACAACAUUUUUCAUUCAUAGAUCAAAAUUCAGUGUCUCCAUGAUUAUGCUUUAUAUGAAGGUUGGAGAGAAAGACAGUUAAGAGGAAAAGAGUUUUUGCUCGAACAUAUUGUUCACCUUCUUGCCAAUGAGCAAUCACAACUUCAUGUUCUUGAAGAAGUUGAACUCGGCAGGUGCAAAAACAGUACAUUGCAAGAGUUAUUGGGGCAUUUCCCGAGCAUGAGCUAUGUAAAGCUGUUAUAAUGCCCGGGAAGGAAAGAGCACAGCAGAUGUUAGUUUGAUGCUACAUGUUCUAUAGCUUUCAUAUGAAAACAGUCCGUUAUUAGUUUGUUUUGAUGUCUGCUGAGAGGUAUUCCAGUGUCCCUCAUUUUUUGUAUUUGAGGCCAUUGUCCUUGGGCAUGUGCCUGAGAAUAGUAGGAUACCUUUUGUAAAUCCUACCUCUUUGUUAUGCAGGUGCUCAACUCCUCUGGUGGCACUUCAGUAAAAGGGAAGGUUGCUUGUACCAAGUUCACUAGAAUUAGUACCAUAAUGUGUUCCUCUAUAUAUGCAGAUUUAUAUAAUUAAAGUCGUGUGUAUUGAAGUUGUUAACAUUAUAUAUAUACAUUUUUUGGAGUAAAGCAUUUGAUGUAAGUUUUUAAAGUAUUUAUUGGACUUUAUUAGAGUGUUCUACUAUAUGAGUUCAAGCUUUUACACCAGACAUAGCCAUUAGUUAUGUUUUAACUGUCAUUAGUGAUACAUCUUUUGCUGUUGGUUAAUACAUGUGACAGUGAGAAUCCAUUUCUUACUGCUUUGGCUUCUCUUUUGUGAUUUCUUGCUAUAUAUAAUAAAACUUAUAGGGUAACUCUUGAUGGUAUAUUCUGUUGCGCUAUGUGUUUUAUUUCUGCUGCAAUUGUUGUAGUAGUUAUAACAUAUAUAUCAUAGUAAAAGUAGUGUUCUAGAGGGUGUAUACACUCCCACUACAAUAGGGGCUGGACAUUUUCUCAGUCCAUUCCCUCUCUCAGUCACUCAGGUAUGGCGAUUGCUUUUUUAUUUUAUAUUUUAAUUUCUUUUCUGUUUUUUUCUUUCUUUCUUUUGUUUUGGUGAGUUUUGUGCAAUAACUAUUUCAGGUUAUAUAAUGAGCGGUUAGGUAUGAGAUAUGGGCGAAAUCCAUACUAGAGCUUUCCGUGGACUUCUCCUAUUACAGAGAUUGACCACAAAGAUGUACCAUUUGUUACUUUAAUGGAUGUUCUUACCUAUCGAGAGGAAUUUGGGCUACAAUUUCUUGACAGGCUCUCUUACACCCCCU